UUACUCGUUUCGGCGGUACAUAUACUAAAAUUGGAACGAUACAGAGAUUAGCAUGGUCCCUGCUCAAGGAUGACACGCAAAAUCGUUUAGUUGCGCUUAGUUUU
rnacentral:snRNA from 1 species